ACACAUGGCAAGUUCCUUUCUUUAUCACUCACUCGACACCCUAAUCUCCACUCCAGCAUCAUCUACGGCGAUUCUCCUCUUUCACUCAGAUAUUCAAAACACCCAAGGCCGCUCACGAUUUCAACCUCUUAACUUCGUCUUCUUCAAUACAAACUCUGUCGUCCAUCUUGCUGAGACAAACAGAGUCCAAACCCUAGCGAAGAGAAAUCGGUUCGCCCGUUCCGAUUCAGGUUGCGGCAAACAUUGAAGGCAAACACUGAUCUUUAUGCGAUUGUUAUGCUUGCUAUUAGGUGCAACAGGUGACUCCAAGAGUUCAUCUGAUGGUCAAAAACCAGUGCAGUUACAGAUUGUGUGCUCUUUGGAAUGCCAUAGUGGUCAAGGAUGCCAAAAAUAGAUAGGCUAUGGACUUUCGAUGGAUUCCAAUACGAUUUAGCUAUAAUCGAACCCUGCUUGAUGUUAUAUCAUAAUCUGUUUGACGAUGGCGAUAAUGUUAAUCCCUUUGCUGUAAGUUAACAUUUAUGCUUUCAUUUUCAAAUUGAUCGUUAAGACUUAAGUCAUCAGUUUAGUACAAAUCUUUUGCGGCUCUUCAUAGUCAUAGCCGCCUCAUCCUUCAUAUGCAUAUAUAGUGCUUGUUGAGUUCCAUUAUGUUUUCUUAAAUCCUCCCCCUAAACAUCAAUAUAUUAUUUAAAGUUCAGAUUGAUAUUGUAACUUAGCUUUGAGGUAAUUAACAUUAGUUUGACAUAUUAUCUUAAUUGACAUACUAUAAUGUUAUAUUUAAAGUUUGUCUGUUGCAUUCUCACCGUAUAGAGUUUCUUGAUUGUUGAAUUUUUUAAAUCCUUUUUACCAAAAGGUUUCAUCUAAUCUUAACAAGCCUUUUGUCGUUUUAAUU